CAAGUUAAUCUUAUUAGUUAAGAAUUACAUUUACAUUGUAGUUUUGAUCGUGCAAUUCGAUAUAACUUGA
rnacentral:tRNA from 1 species